CUCUCUAUCAUGUGAAAAAACCCUCACUCGUCGUCGGAGAUAAAAAAAAAAUCUCUGCCAGUUGUGUUUUCCGGCUGCCACUGCAUCGGGAAACGUCUAAUGAUUGAUUUUGCGAUUCCGUUACUCUCACAUGUGAGAGGUUUGAUUCAUAGAGAUCCUCUUGGCGAUUCGACGUGGUUCCUUCAGCACUUGAUCUGACGAACCCUUCAAUCCCACACUCGGAGCAAGUGAAAGAAGGAAAUGGGGCUUUGCCUAUUGUCCAAGCUUAUGCAGCUGAUAUCAGAAUUGUUUCUCCUGAAAACUCAUGAGGAUGUAAACAGUCUUACGGAUUUCAAUUUGUAAGUAACUGUAAUGUGUUACUAAAGUAAACGAAACAUGUCCUGUAAAAUGUUUUUAAAAUUUGUUUUGAGUGUUCAUGAACAUAUUAAUACAGAGGAUGAAAUUGUAAACUGUAAAGUGUUCUGAUAUUCCAUAAAGCAUUCAAACAUGAUUAGUAUUA